GUUAAUGUUGAAUUAAAAAAGAAGUGGAUGGAAGCUAUUGGUGUGACAACAGUUUGUAAGUCAGCCAGUAUAUGUAGCGACCACUUCUAUGAAGAAUCAUUUUAUCAGACUGAUGGAUAUACAACUUUGAGACGUUUAAUAUCAACUGCUGUCCCUUUUAAUCGAAACACUAAUCAAUUAUCUUUACCAAUUAACAACGUAUCUACUCAAGCACUUGGUGACAUAACGAAUCAUCAAGAUAUGACAAUAAGUGACGAAAAUACAUUUUCAACAAGUACGGAUACUAAUAACGGAGACAACUUUGAAACACAUGAUAAUUUAAUUAAGUCCCAGAAACAAUAAUAAAAGAAAAUCAUCUGUUGUCGACAUUCACCCAAAAAAAAUUUGUUUUGUGGUCGGAAGUCAGCUAGAGUCUUUUUCAAGAGAGCACUUCGCUUCAGAUGAAGCUUGGGAGCGAUUUGUAAGAGUUAUGGCUUCUGAAAAAUUGAAGAAAUCUGCUUCCCAUAUGAAGUUAUUUAGGAAAGAAAAAAUAAAUAAUAAUAU